rnacentral:rRNA from 1 species
CCUACGGGAGGCAGCAGUGGGGAAUAUUGCGCAAUGGAGGCAACUCUGACCCAGCAACGCCGCGUGAAUGAUGAAGGUCUUCGGAUUGUAAAGCUCUUUUCUAAGGGAAGAAGAAAGAGACGGUACCUUAGGAAUAAGCCUCGGCUAACUACGUGCCAGCAGCCGCGGUAAUACGUAGGAGGCAAGCGAUAUCCGGAAUGACUGGGCGUAAAGGGUGCGUAGGUGGUUUGUCAAGUUAGUAGCGAAACUCCGGGGGUCAACUUCGGAACUACUACUAAAACUGUGGGACUUGAGUGAAGGAGGGGCAAUCGGAAUUCCGAGUGUAGCGGGGGAAUGCGUAGAUAUCAGGAGGAACACCAGUGGCGAAGGCGGAUUCCUAGACUGUAACGGACACUGAGGCACGAAAGCGUGGGGAGCAAAAGGGAUUAGAUACCCGGGUAGUC